GUCCUAUAGAUAAUAUUUUUAGGUCUGUCCUGCCCACUGAUUUUAUUGAAUGGCCGCGGUAUUUUGACCGUGCAAAGGUAGCAUAAUCAUUAGUUUUUUUAUUGAAAGCUGGAAUGAAGGGAUGAAUGAGAAAAUUUCUGUCUCUAAUUAAAUAAUAGAAUUUUAUUUUUAAGUUAAAAAGCUUAAAUAAUUUUAAAAGACGAGAAGACCCUAUAGAGUUUAAUAAUUAAUAAUUUAUUUUUUUUUGGUUUUUAAAUUUAAUUUAUUUUUAAUUAUUUAGUUGGGGUGAUUGAAAAAUUUAUUUAACUUUUUUUAUAUUUAAACAAUUAUAUUUGAAUUUUUGAUCCGUUUAUAUGAUUAAAAGAAAUAAUUACCUUAGGGAUAACAGCGUAAUUUUUUUAGAGAGUUCUUAUCGAAAAAAAAGUUUGCGACCUCGAUGUUGGAUUAAAAUUUAAAUUUGGUGUAGAAGCUAAGUUUUUUAGUCUGUUCGACUAUUGAAAUUUUACA
rnacentral:rRNA from 1 species